rnacentral:rRNA from 1 species
AUUGAACGCUGGCGGCAUGCUUUACACAUGCAAGUCGAACGGUAACAGGUUAAGCUGACGAGUGGCGAACGGGUGAGUAAUGCAUCGGAACGUGCCCGAUCGUGGGGGAUAACGCAGCGAAAGCUGCGCUAAUACCGCAUACGAUCUGAGGAUGAAAGCGGGGGACCGUAAGGCCUCGCGCGAUCGGAGCGGCCGAUGUCAGAGUAGGUAGUUGGUGGGGUAAAGGCUCACCAAGCCAACGAUCUGUAGCUGGUCUGAGAGGACGACCAGCCGCACUGGGACUGGGACGCGGCCCAGACUCCUACGGGAGGCAGCAGUGGGGAAUUUUGGACAAUGGGCGAAAGCCUGAUCCAGCAAUGCCGCGUGCAGGAAGAAGGCCUUCGGGUUGUAAACUGCUUUUGACGGAACGAAAAGGUUUGGCCUAAUAAGCUGAGCUCAUGACGGUACCGUAAGAAUAAGCACCGGCUAACUACGUGCCAGCAGCCGCCGUAA